rnacentral:rRNA from 1 species
AGCUUAACAUUGUAAGUAAAUAAUAAUUAUGAAAGCAAAAAAUUAUGGCGGUAUUUUAAGCUUUUCAGAGGAAUUUGCUCUUUAAUGGAUAAAACACCAAAAUCUUACUUAGAUUUGUGAUUUCAAUUUGUAUACCACUAUUAAAACAAUUUAUAACUUUAAUUGUUUAAAUUUACAAAACUAAAAUAUAUUAAGUCAAGGUGCAGUAAAAAUUUAAGGAUGAAGUGAAUUACAUUACUUUUUAGUGAGAUAAGUUUAUAACAAUAUUUAGAAUUUGAAAGUAAAAUUAAAAUAGGAUGUUAAUUUGAAUUAAGCUCUAAAAUAUGUAC